GAUGAAGAACGCAGUGAAAUGCGAUACGUAAUGUGAAUUGCAGAAUUCAGUGAAUCAUCGAAUCUUUGAACGCAUAUUGCGCUCUCUGGUAUUCCGGAGAGCAUGCUUGUUUGAGUAUCAGUAAACACCUCAACUCCCUUUUCUUUUUUGAAAUUGGAGCUGGACUUGAGUGAUCCCAACGCUUUCUUCCAAGAAAGUGGCGGGUUGCUUGAAAUGCAGGUGCAGCUGAACUUUUCUCUGAGCUAUAAGCAAAUCUAUUUAAUCUGCCUAAAAAACAGAUUAUUACCUUUGCUGCAGCUAACAUAAAGGAGACUAGUUCUUGUGCUGACUGAUGCAGGAUUCACAGAGACAGCUUCGGCUGACUUUGUAAACUCGAUCUCAAAUCAAGUAAGACUACCCGCUGAACUUAAGCAUAUCAAUAAGCGGAGGA
rnacentral:misc_RNA from 1 species